rnacentral:rRNA from 1 species
CAAGGCAACGAUCAGUAGCCGGUCUGAGAGGAUGAACGGCCACAUUGGAACUGAGACACGGUCCAAACUCCUACGGGAGGCAGCAGUGGGGAAUAUUGCACAAUGGGGGAAACCCUGAUGCAGCGACGCCGCGUGAGUGAAGAAGUAUUUCGGUAUGUAAACUUCUAUCAGCAGGGAAGAAGAUGACGGUACCUGACUAAGAAGCCCCGGCUAACUAC